rnacentral:lncRNA from 1 species
UAUAUAUAGGUAUGUGCGUGUGUAUGUGUGUAAAUAUAUAUGCCUAUGUGUAUAUACGUACAUAUAAUCAUAUAAUUACACGUGUAUGAGUAAGCAGAUAUGUAUCUUUUUAUAUAUUUAUUAAUAGAAACAAGAAGAGGGGAAAAUUGGGUGACAGUGAAAUUGAAGUAAAAAUGGAAAUAUUUAAAACGGGGGGAAGGGGGUAGAGGAGAAGGAGGAGGAGAGAAAAUACAGUUUUCGGACUAUAUUUCUAUUUUUUGGGGGGCUUUUGGCUGGGGGGGGCUGGUGUUGUUGGCGAGGUGGGUGAGAGAGAGAGGGGGAGAGAGGUAGGGAGGAAGAGAUAAAGACAUAACAAGAAGUUGGUUAUAUAUGAAUAAUAUAUGACAUUGAAAGUUGGUCGGCUUUUACUUAAUACACACCAGACAGACAGAUGACUUGGUAAAUAAAGGGAGGUAACAGUCGGGAUGUGUGUAGAGAGAGGAAGAGAGAGAAACAGAUAGACAAACGGAGAGAGAGAGAGGGGGAGAGAGAGAGAGAGAAAGAAAGAAAGAGGGAAAGAACAUGGUUUAUUCAUAUUGGAAUAAAAUCUGGAGGUGGUGGGGGGGCGGGGGAGAAAGAGAUAUCAGCAGCUGAUGUUUUGACACCUGACGGAGUAUUUAAACUGUUGAAAGUGAAAUAUUUGUGGGGGAAACCGUUUUCACAGAGAGAAUAACGGAGGAAAAAGGAAAAUGGAGCCGAUGGGGACGGGGACGGCGGUGGUGGUGGUGGUGGUCGAACAAUGGGAAGAACGUAGGAAGAAGACGAGGAGGAAAUGGGAGUGGGUAGAAUGUGUGAGGAGGAGGAGGAGGAGGAGGAGGAUGAAGUAGAAGGGAGCAGUGGGCUGAGGAGGGGGAGGAGGAAGUAAGAGUGGGUAGAACGUGUGAGAUGGAGGAGGAGGAGGAGGAAGUAGAAGGGAGCAGUGGGCUGAGGAGGGGGAGGAAGUGGGAGUGGGGUAGAAUGUGUGAGGUGAAGGAGGAGGAGGAGGAGGAAGUUGAAGGGAACAGUUGGCUGAGGAGGGGGAGGUGGGAGUGGGUAGAAUGUGUGAGGAGGAGGAAGUAGAAGGGAGCAGUGGGCUGAGGAGGAGGAAGGGGAGGAGGAAGUGGGCAGAGUAGUUAAAAUAAAUUUAGGCUGGGAGAAAUUAUAUUUCUUUUGUUAACAAGAAAAAUGUAAUUUUUUUUUUUUUUAUUGCUUAUAUUUCUUGUCUUCGAUGUGCCAUGUCGCCGAGGAGACACACUAUGCUCCCUCCACCGACUCACAAUAAAACAUCACUUUUUAACCCCUUGUUUUGUAAGGGGGUGGUGGUAUUUUUUCUUUUUUUUUUUUUUUUUACUAUUUUUCUUCAUUGCCACUGUUUUUAAUUAACUUUGAAAAUAAUGAAGAACUUAGUAAAAAAUAACAAAAGUCGGUGUUUGGAACACAAAUUAACAUGAAAUUUUGAUGGUAAAUUUUAAUUUACAUUACUCGUUACCAUAUUUCCAAUGAAACGCAUCACCUUUGUUACAAUUAAUAUUGAAAAAAAUGAAGAAUUUACUAAAAUGACAAAGUUGGUGUUGGGAAUGCAAUGAGAAAUUUUGAUGGAAAGUUAUAAUUUCGAUCACGGUUCUUUUCGGUUUGACCGGCAGUUUUUUAAAAUAAUUUCCACGUAACUAAACACUUUUAAACUUCGUAUACUGGUAGAAUGUGUUUAUAAAACAUCUUUUUCUCUUGGCUUUCUUGAGAAAAUUCUAUAGUUUGUAAGAUAUGUUGUUUUUUUUUCUUCAAUUUCUGCAAUUUCAACCAAUCAAUGACGUCUAUUGAGGUGAAAACAUUCUGUGCCGUAUGAAUAUGUCCCUCGUUUAAGAAACAGAUCGGGUUUAUUUACAUUUGUGAAGAAAAAAAGAUACCCUUGCCCCACCCCUAACUCUAACCCUAACCCUAAAAGAGAUUGAAAUGCAAUAGAUUGAUACUAGGGUUAUAAUUAUGAGUGACAAUUUCAUAUGACAUUGCUAGAAAAAACUGCCGUUCAAACUGAAAGGAUCCUAGAUCACUUUAACCAUUUUGUUACCAUAUUUCUAUCUUUGUUACAAUUAGUUUUGAAAAAAAUGAAGAAUUUAGAGAAAUCCCUUUCGUCAUUUAACCGAUGUUUGGAACAUUUAACAUUUAAUCAGCAUGAAAUUUUGAUGGAAGGUUUUCGAUUGAAGUCUCCUUAACCCUUUAGCAUUUAAACCGGCCACAUCCGGCCAAAAGUAUUCUGCCUGUUUUAUGUUCAGCAUGGCCAGAUCUGGUCUCUCACACCAACCCUACAAUAUCGUUUUAAAAAUUAACAGCUACCUCAUCAAAAUCUCAUAGUUACAAGAUAAUGCAUGAUUAGUUCAAAACAAUGAGGAUAAAAAAGGAUUAAUUUUGGCAGAAUAAUGUGAACACUAAAGGGUUAAAACAAGGAGUUUGAUAUCAGAAGAACCAGAGGUGAUAUCAGGAUGGUUGGUUGGUAUCAAAAUGGUUAAACAGAUCCAUGAGCAAAUAAGUUGUACGGAGAGAAAUUUUAAAAAAACUUGGAGGUGGGGGGAAUCUGAUGGAUUGGAAAUAAUGGUUUCUGAUUUAGGCACAAGGCCAGCAAUUUUGAAUUUUAGUCGAUUCCAUCGACGCCAGUACUUUAUUUCAUCGGCCCCCGAAGGGACGAACGGUAAAGUUAACCUCAGUCAGAUUUGAACUCAGUACAUAAAGAUACCGAAGAGAUACAGCAGUGAUAUGUAUAGAAAACUUAUUUGGCUGGUAGUUUGCUUCAGCUGAAAGGAUGAUAGGGGAAGUUGACCUUGGCCAGAUUUGAACCCUGGACAUAAAGAAUCAGAGGGAAUACUGCACGGAUUUUAUUCCAACCAAUUCAACUAACAAGAAAUUGGUAGAAUGGCCUCCACCAAUGGGACAGUAAAGCAUCAUCAUAGAAUGGUAUUAAGAUUGGUCUGGAACAAUUUGGGAACAGGUGACGUAUACCUGGUGUGUUUUUCAUUUGGCAGGAAUGAAACGGAGGGCUGUUAGGAGAAUAUUAGGGCAGAUCAUAGGGAUGGUACACGAUAAUCACAAGGAAAGUUAUAGGACAGAUCACAGGAGAGAGACACAGUCAUAAGUAGAGUAAUAGGAUAGGUCACAGCUGGGUUGUAUAAUGAUUAACAGAAAGUGUGUGUGUUUUGGGGUGGUAAUAUUCAACAGUUCAGGAAGGGGAUGUAAUAGGACAGGUCAUAGGUGAGGUACAUAACUGUCAUAAGGAGAGUAAUAGGUUAGGUCACAGCUGGGUUGUAUAAUGAUUAACAGAAAGUGUGUGUGUUUUGGGGUGGUGAUAUUCAGCAGUUCAGGAAGGGGAUGUUUUAGACACAGCAGAGAGAAAAUUAUUACAUCAAAAUAUGAGAAAGUUUUCGAAAUGUGUUUGAUGGCGGAAAGGAGAGUAUUAGACAAAAAAGCAUGGAGUUGGAUGCGAAACAAUGGGAGGAGAAAUUAUGAAAAAAAAAAAUGAGGGAAGCGAUGGUAAUUAUGACCGACAAGCUAUGAUAGAAGAGGAAUUAUUAAGACAGAUCAUUUCAAUUAUGAGCAACAUCAUCAUCAUCAUCACUGUGUUAAUAACGUCCCCUUUUCCAUGUUUGCAUGGGUCAGACGGAAUUUGCUGAGGCAGAUUUUUAUACAGCUGGGUACCUUUCCUGUCACCAACCCUGUUGCCAAGCAACGAAAUAUUUUUUCCUCAAUAUUUUUACAAUUUGCAUGACAAUGGUUCUUGUUAAAAAGAUGUCAAGACACACACACACACACACACACAUACCUGCAUAUAUAUAUAUAUGUGGUGGACUUCUUUUAUUUUCUGUCUACCAUUUCUACAAACAAGGCUUUGUUCAGUUUAGGGAUCACUGGCCCAAAAUGACAUGCAGCGGAGCUGAACCCAAAACUACGAGACUGGGAAACGAACUUCUUAGCCACACACCCACACAGUCAUGUCUGCACCUCACAACAAGGAGAAAUGUUUCUGACAGGUCAUAGCUAUGACACAGGAAAAGGGAAUCAUGCAGGUGGGUAACAGCUACGAAGCAUCACAGUCAUAGGAAAGGAGGGAAUUAUUACGACAUGUCACAGCUAUUACAUGGGUAUGAUCAUAAGAAAUGAACAAACAUGAUCACAACAUUCACAGAAAGAGGGAAAGGGUCACUAAGAUGGAAUCACAGCUAUGACACAGCACAGUCAUAGGAAAGGAAGGAAUAAGUAAGACAUGUCACAGCUAUUACAUGGGUAGGAUCAUAAGAAAUGAACAAACACGAUCACAACAUUCACAGAAGGAGGGAAAGGGUCUCUAAGAUGGAAUCAUAGCUAUGACACAGCACAGUCAUAGGAAAGGAGGUGAAUUAGUAAGACAUGUCACAGCUAUUACAUAGGUAUGAUCAUAAGAAAUGAACAAACACGAUCACAACAUUCACAGAAGGAGGGAAAGGGUCACUAAGAUGGAAUCACAGCUAUGACACAGCACAGUCAUAGGAAAGGAGGGAAUUAGCAAGAUAUGUCACAGCUAUUACAUGGGUAGGAUCAUAGCGAACAAAGAAGUAUAAUCACAGCAAUCACAGAAGCAGGGAACAAAAAAAUCCUUAACAGUCACAGCCAUGACACAACGGAGUCAGAAUAGAGACAUUGUCCAGUCAGAAACUGUUUAACAACACAAAUCAAACGUUAUGAAACACUGUAGAGAUAGGGCAUGAAAACUUACAAAGAUGUAAAGAAGAAAAAGAUAAUCUUAAUUUGUGAUUUGUUGAGCAAAUAUCAACAAUGAAGAAAACAAAGAAAAAUGGACUAGAUUUGUUUCAAUUUUAGUUUUUGGUGGAUAAAAGUGUUUUGUUUUUGAUGAUGCAUACCAUGUAGUUUGUUUAUCAUAAAAAGGUCCCAAAACGUUACCCCAGGGACUACAUGCAAGGUUGGGCCACUUCCUUAACCCUUUCGUUACCAACCCGGCUAAAACCGGCUCUAGCUCUGUAGUAUAAAUGUCUUCUUUACAUAAGUUUUCAAUUAAAAUCUUCCACCAAAUCUUAGUCACAAUUUAUGUUCUUAACACUAGCUGAAUGAUAACUAAGUCAUUUUACUAAAUUCUUUGUUAUAUUUAAAAUAAUUGAAAGAAAUACAGAGCAUCUCAACAGAAAUACGGUAGCAAAGGGGUAAAGAUAAUUUUAUCCCUGACACUCUACUAUAGGCUAAUAUUAAUCCAGAAGAUGGCAGCAAGUUGGGAGAACCAUUAGCACGCCAGGCAAAAUUCUGCCAAGGUCAACUUUGCCUUUCAUUCUUUCUGGGUCAAUGUAAACAACUUUAUCUCUUUCCCAAAAUUGCUGGCCUUGUGCCAAAAUUUGAAACCAGUAUUAACCAAGAUAUAUAUAUUUUUUUCCUACCUCACUUGACUCCAUAACAAUAAUAAUUAAAUCUAAUGUUUAUAAAGGGUCCUCCUGAAUAAAACGAGAAUCAAAGGGGUCCAUGAAUAAAAAAUGAUUGAGAGUCACUGAACUAAGGAGCCAAUUGCACUAUAAAACUACUUUUCCUGAAUAUGGGUAACUGCAAUAGGGGACAGGGUGCCCCCUGUUUCUUUGAUGUCAUCAAAUAACAGUUUGCAAGAAACAGUUCCGAUGGAAGGUUUUGGUAAAGGGGUUAACCCUUUCACAUUCAGACUACUUUGUCAAAUGUCACCCUUAUCUAUUCGCAUUGUUUUGAAUUAACCAUGAAUUAUAGGGGCAGGAGUGGCUGUGUGGUAAAAAGCUUGCUUACCAACCCACAUGGUUCUGGGUUCAGUCCCACUACGUGGCACCUUGGGCAAGUGUCUUCUACUAUAGCCUCGGGCCGACCAAAGCCUUGUGAGUGGAUUUGGUAGAUGGAAACUGAAAGAAGCCCAUCGAAUGUGUGUGUGUAUAUAUAUAUAUAGGUGCAGGAGUGGCUGAGUGGUAAAAAGCUUGCUUCCCAACCACAUGGUUCCGGGUUCAGUUCCACUGUGUGGCACCUUGGGCAAGUGUCUUCUACUAUAGCCUCGGGCCGGCCAAAGCCUUGUGAGUGGAUUUGGUAGACGGAAAUUGAAAGAAGCCCGUCGAAUAUGUGUGUGUGUGUAUAGACAUUGUAGGAGAGCUAUCUUAUCUGAAGUGUUCUCAGUGAGAUUAGACCUGACAAGUGAAGUGUUGUUAGGUAUUGAAUAAUGUGUGAUAUUCCACUACACUGCAUAUCAGAUUAUUAACAAUGUAAUAUUUGUUUAUUUCAUUUAAAAACUACUUGCUGGCUUUCACAGAAUUUUCCACAGAAUGAUGGCAACAGAUAUACGCACGGGGUAUGUAAAAAUUGUGAGGUUUUGCGCAAGUGUAAACGAACUGUAACUGUCUGCAUGAUUUCCAUGAACUUUCAGCAUUCCAAAUUAUUAACAAGUGGUCUGAUAAUCAAGUAAUUAUGGUUCGUAAAUAUGUCUUAAUUGCUUCAGAAUUGUUGUCCUGAAUUUGCAAAAAGUAAACGAACAUUAGAAAUACCUAAAAUAAUUGGAAAGUAUCACCAAACUGUGAAAAAAAUUGUUACAGCUCCUACGAAGAUAGUUAAGAGGGCCGACAAGGGUCAAUCGAGGGCUGUUUCUCAAUGUUCUCUGUCAUGAAUUAAGCAUGAAGCUGUAAAGAAACCAGGUGUUACAGGUGGAGAAGUUUCCAAGCACAUUGGUGAAACAACUGUGUCCAGAACACCAUGAUGUUGUCUUCUGAAAAAGGUCAGUAAACCAGUGACAUCAGUUCAAAGGUCACCUUUAAACAAAAUACAAUUAUAAAAUCAUCUGAAAUGGGUAGACUAUAACAUAAAGGUUGACUUUUCAAAAGUUUUGUUUACAGACGAAACUCGUGGUACCCUUGAUGGACCUGAUGGUUGGAGCAAGGGAAGGGUUGUAACUGGACAAGAUUACCAUCAAUGCCUGAGACACCAACAAGGGGGAGGGGGCAUCAUGAUUUGGGCAAAAAUUAUGGUUGGUCUUUGGAAAGUGCCUGAUGGUGUUAAACUGCUUACAUAGCCUUUCUGAGGGAGCACCUUGAACCUUGGUUCAAAAAGUAAAGGAUCACCUUCAAGACAACCAUAAUAUUCAUGCAAGAUAAUGCAUCCUCACACUCAGUGAAGAAAACUACAGGGUAUCUGUGGCAAUUAGGCUUCUGUGGACCUCGGAAGAUGAAGUGGCCUGCCUGAUCCCUUGACUUAAAAACCUAAUAGAAAACUUGUGGAGUAUUCUAAAGUGAUGAGUUUACAAGAACAUAUGCUAAUUUAGGAGCAAGGAUGACCUAUGGCAAGCAAUAGUGCAUGUAUCUCAUGGUAUAAAAUCAAAGGAGAUCCAGAAACUAGCAUGUCCCCUGAACUUGCGCCUUUCCCAACCUAUUUCAAACAAAGGCUUACUAACCCCUUACUAACCAGCUCACCUAUCAUUCUUGUUUGUUUAUUUCUAUUUCUUCCAUGAUUGUGACUAUGUAUUCAUUUCAGUAUAAAUAGCAAUUAACUGGCUAUUUUCUUGUCUACAUGAAUCUUAAUCACAUCUUGCUUGUACUUUGAAGCAGUGAAAGUUUACGUUAAUUGAGUAAAUGGCCAUAGUUUCUGCUUUGUUUUAUGCAACCUCAUGUUUUUUUUUUUUUACACACCACGUGAAUAUAACUUUGCCGUCAUUUUGUGAAAAUUUCAUUGAAUUCCAACCCAAUUUUUAAAUACAAUACAAAAAAUGUCGUAUCAUUGAUAAUUAGAAACACACUGCAUUCCUACUGAUUUAUUGUCACGAAAAUUUCAACAUGUAUGAUGCUGUGACCAUAAAACCUUAUGUCAAUAACUGACUUGGAACAUCCUGAGAUAAAUUUAUGGAGUACUUAUGCAACAGAUGGCAACAAAAGUAGAAAGUGAGAAAAGUAUUAACAGAUUCUUUAAGAGCUGACCUUUUGCUAUUCAGAUUACUAAGCUAAUAGUAAUUCCUACUUAUUUACAUUAUUCUGAAUUAAUUAUGCAUUAUCUUGUAGCUUUGAAAUUUUAAUUUGAGAUUGUGUGUUUUUUAAGAAUGACAUUGUAGGGUAAAUGUGAGAGGCUGGAUCAGGCCAGUUUGAAUGCAAAAUAGGCACGAUAUUUUGGCUAGAUGUGGCUGGUUUGAAUGCUUAAAGGUUAAACUAUCAUCUCCUAGCAUAAAGCUACCUCCCUCAGGGGUUUCUUCAUCUUGCAAGCUGCAUGGUAACCUCACAAGGACAGGUGACAUGUAAAACAAAAACACAAAAACGAAAGAAAAAAAAAGAAGCAUCUGGUACAUCCAGUAAAAGGGUCAGCAUUAGAAAGGGCGUCCGGCCAACAUAGACACUGGAGCACAGCAUGGGCCCUUAAGUUUAUAAGAUCCUGUCAAACAGUCCAACCCAUGCCUGCACGGAACACAGAUAUUAAUGAUGAUGAUGAUAAUAGCCGCAGGAGUGGCUGUGUGGUAAGUAGCUUGCUAACCAACCACAUGGUUCCGGGUUCAGUCCCACUGUGUGGCACCUUGGGCAAGUGUCUUCUGCUAUAGCCCCGGGCCGACCAAAGCCUUGUGAGUGGAUUUGGUAGAUGGAAACUGAAAGAAGCCUGCUGUAUAUAUGUAUAAUAUAUAUAUAUAUAUGUGUGGGUAUAUGUUUGUGUGUGUGUGUUUUUCCCUCUAGCAUUGCUUGACAACCGAUGCUGGUGUGUUUACGUCCCCGUCACUUAGCAGUUCGGCAAAAGAGACCGAUAGCAUAAGUACUGGGCUUACAAAGAAUAAGUCCCGGGGUCGAUUUGCUCGACUAAAGGCGGUGCUCCAGCAUGGCCGCAGUCAAAUGACUGAAACAAGUAAAAGAGAAAGAGAAUGGUGACACCUGACACCGGCUGUUAUGAGGAAGGCAAAAUGGGUUAGCAGAAAGAAUGCAGCCAGAAUAAAUAGCAUUAUACAAAGAUUGAUAUGUCAAGUCAAACACUUUAUUGUAUCAAGCUGGGCAGAUCAGCCAGCUCAAUAAAAAAAUAACAUUUUAUUAUGUAUAAUAAAAAAGUCAAUUUGUCAAUCUGCUGCACAACUAUGUGCAUAUAUGUAAGUGUAUAUAUAGAUUAUCAUCAUCAUCAUUGUUUAACGUCCGUUUUCCAUGCUGGCAUGGGUUGAACUAUUUGACUGAGGUCUGGAGAGCCAGUGGCUGCACCAGGCUCCAAUCUGAUCUGGCAAUGUUUCUACAGCUGGAUGCCCUUCCUAACACCAACUAUCCAAGAGAGAGAGAGAGAGAGAGAGUGUGUAUGUGUGUGU